ACGAACGCUGGCGGCAGGCUUAACACAUGCAAGUCGAACGGACGUAGCAAUACGUUAGUGGCAGACGGGUGAGUAACGCGUGGGAAUAUGCCCUUUAGUUCGGAAUAACCAAGGGAAACUUUGGCUAAUACCGGAUAAUCCCGAGAGGGGAAAGACUUAUCGCUGAAGGAGUAGCCCGCGUCUGAUUAGCUAGUUGGUGAGGUAAUGGCUCACCAAGGCGACGAUCAGUAGCUGGUCUGAGAGGAUGAUCAGCCACACUGGGACUGAGACACGGCCCAGACUCCUACGGGAGGCAGCAGUGGGGAAUAUUGGACAAUGGGGGCAACCCUGAUCCAGCCAGGCCGCGUGGGUGAUGAAGGCCUUAGGGUUGUAAAACUCUUUUAUCCGGGAAGAUAAUGACUGUACCGGAAGAAUAAGCCCCGGCAAACUUCGUGCCAGCCGCCGCAGUAA
rnacentral:rRNA from 1 species